CCUACGGGAGGCUGCAGUAGGGAAUAUUGCUCAAUGGGGGAAACCCUGAAGCAGCAACGCCGCGUGGAGGAUGAAGGUUUUCGGAUUGGAAACUCCUUUUGGUAGAGAAGAGAAUGACGGUAUCUAACGAAUAAGCACCGGCUAACGCCGUGCCAGCAGCCGCGGUAAUACGGAGGGUGCAAGCGUUACUCGGAAUCACUGGGCGUAAAGAGCGCGUAGGCGGGAUAGCAAGUCAGAUGUGAAAUCCUAGGGCUUAACCAUAGAACUGCAUUUGAAACUUUUAUUCUAGAGUAUGGGAGAGGUAGGUGGAAUUCUUUGUGUCGGGGUCCACUCCGUAGAGAUC
rnacentral:rRNA from 1 species